rnacentral:lncRNA from 1 species
GCCUCCCGCCCGCACCGUGCCCUUUGCGUGACCGUGCCCCCGCCGCACCUUCCCUGUCCCACGCUUACCUUUCGGGCCCGGCCGCCGAGGGGCUGCCCCCCCCCGCUCCCGCCCCCCGCCCCGGCUCCGCCAUCCCCGCCGCAGGGGUGUCGCACGCCGCCGCGCCGGCACAGCCUCGGCUCUCGCCUUGCGCGCACUCGGCUGGCGCUGGCAGCCCCGCCGGGUUCAUGCGAGGACAGCGGCGGCUCCGCGCCGCGGCUCGUCUGGCUGCCAACGCCGCGGCGAGGCUGACGCUGCCGCGGCCGGGGGUGACUCACGGCGGCAGCCACCGGGUAGCGGAUCCGAGAGCCGAGCGGCGAGCGGGCACAUCGGGCCCCGCUCUUCGCCCCCUUCCCCGGGCACCGCGUGCCGCCCGUCGCACCCCUGCCCCCUCCCCGACCCCCUGCGCUUCUGCCAAGUGGAAUAAACGCCCGGGUUUCCGGCAAACAUUCACCCUUCCGACACCGAACGGGAGGCCGCCCCCCUCCCGGCCGGCACCCCUGUCGCAGGCGGGCCGGGGUCCGUCCCCGCGGCCGGCAGCGCUCCCGGCGGCACCCGCCCCCACCUCUCCAUGCUUAUAUAACAGCUCUCAAGAGGAAGCUGCUAACAAGCCCAUCUGCUUGUUUGUGCCAGCUGUUUUAGUGGAGGCAUGCUGGAUGUGACUGAGCUCCACCUUCUUUUUUGAGAUAUUAUCUUCAUUUACAGGAAUUUUCAUGGAAAGUGAGCCUGAGCCAUGGCAGAUAAAGACUUUAUGGAUAUUUUCCCCUAAGAGGACACUUCUAACAGAUCUUGUAUGUUACCUGAUUUCUUUUCCUCUUCCAAGUUUACGUUUUAUGGAUCCUUUUAGUA